rnacentral:rRNA from 1 species
UACGUAGGGGGCGAGCGUUAUCCGGAUUCAUUGGGCGUAAAGCGCGCGUAGGCGGCCGCCUAAGCGGAACCUCUAACCCCGGGGCUCAACCUUGAGCCGGGUCCCGAACUGGCAGCCUCGGGUUCGGUAGGGGAGAUCGGAAUUCCCGGUGUAGCGGUGGAAUGCGCAGAUAUCGGGAAGAACACCGAUGGCGAAGGCAGAUCUCUGGGCCGCAACCGACGCUGAGGCGCGAAAGCUAGGGGAGCGAACAGG